AAAUUGUUUUUAUAAAUCUUUAUUUUUUAAUUAUUGUUAUAUAUAAAUAUAUCGUAUAUAAUUGAAUAAAUAUUAUUUGUUUAUUGCAGAAUACAAAGUAUACAUGUGAAGCUAAAUUAAUGAAAAUUGACACGACAUAUGGAUGGUGGUAUAAGGCCUGUUACGAUUGUAAAGGGGGAAUAAAAGAUUUUGAUGGUACG
rnacentral:lncRNA from 1 species